rnacentral:rRNA from 1 species
GACGAACGCUGGCGGCGUGCUUAACACAUGCAAGUCGAACGGAAAGGUCCUGCUUUGGUGGGGUGCUCGAGUUGCGAACGGGUGAGUAACCCUUGAGUAACCUGCCCUCGACUUUGGGAUAACUUCAGAAAACUGGGGCUAAUACCGGAUAGGAGCUCCCGCUGCAUGGUGGGGGUUGGAAAGUUUCGGCGGUUGGGGAUGGACUCGCGCCUUAUCAGCUUGUUGGUGGGGUAGUGGCUUACCAAGGCCUUGACGAGUAGCCGGACUGAGAGGGUGAGCGGCCACAUUGGGACUGAGAUACGGCCCCGACUCCUACGGGAGGGAGAAGUGGGGAAUAGUGCACAAUGGGCGGAAGCCUGAUGCAGCAACGCCGCUGGCGGGAUGACGGCCUUCGGGUUGUAAACCGCUUUCGCCUGUGACGAAGAGUGAGUGACGGUAAUGGGUAGAGAAGCACCGGCUAACUACGUG